UACGAGGGGGGCGAGCGUUGUUCGGAAUUAUUGGGCGUAAAGGGUGCGUAGGCGGUUCCGCAAGUCCUGUGUGAAAUCUUCGGGCUCAACUCGAAGUCUGCACGGGAAACUGCGGGGCUUGAGUGUGGGAGAGGUGAGUGGAAUUCCCAGUGUAGUGGUGAAAUACGUAGAGAUUGGGAAGAACACCAGUGGCGAAGGCGGCUAUCUGGACGGUUUCUGACGCUAAGACGCGAAAGCGUGGGGAGCAAACAGG
rnacentral:rRNA from 1 species